GCAGUUACCACAGUGGACAGCUUAUCAUUGUUUGUGAUGCAUAAAGUUAUGAAAUUGUGACGGAAGUGACGUAACAGCGCACAGUAUGGCCCCUGCUUCCCGCCG